AACAGACGAUGCGCAGGGAAAAUAAGCUUAAUGUGGAGCUGAUUAACGUUGUAGACCUGCAUAUUUAAUACUGGCACAACUAUUAUUCAGCAGAUUUCUGUCUGGUGAAACCUGCAGUUUAGUGUCUCACUCUACCGUAGUUCAAAGUGAAAGGCAGCUAGGCUAGCUGCUAGCUGCUAGCUGCUUGUUUUUUACUUGAAAAAGUUUAAUCGUGAACUCAAACGUGGACGUUUAAUCGUCAGAGACAGUUAUUAACACCAGCCUCUACUAUAACUGAGGACUGGGAGAGCUGGGGACAGUUUUUGAGGACAUUUUGCUAAUUAGCCUGUUGCUAUUGCUGUGACGAGGGACCCUGCUGCCGAACUUGGGUGUACACACCUGUUGGUGUUGCCUCAUCUUUAACGUAAACUCUUCAGACCUGCUUUGGAUCUGCAUCUUGGAUUUUUCCUGAUCCAAGUGUUGAUCAGAGGAAGAAGAAGAAGAAGAAGAAGGUCAAAUGGCAGCAGGAACACUGGUGUUCUGUUUUCUGAUCAUCUGUUCUCUGGUCGGCUCCUCUAGAGCUCAGGAAAUCAUCCAAGCUGUUAUUGGACAGGAUGUCAUUCUACCAUGUAAAGCUCCCAACAAGUACAACAUCAACAACACAGCUGUAGAAUGGAGCAGACCUGGACUGGAUCCAGAUCAUGUUCUUGUCUACCGAGAUGGACGCUUUGAUCCAAUCAACCAGCAUCCAUCUUAUCAGAACCGGGUGGAUCUGCAGGACAAAGAGAUGAAGGAUGGAGACUUUUAUCUGAUUCUGAAGAAAGUGACGAUGGAGGACACUGGAACAUACAUGUGUCAUGUUUUUGAGAAAGGAAAGAAGAAACCCUUCAGCAGCACCUACGUGGAAAUUUAUGUAUCAGGAAAGAAGGGUGGAAACACUGGAGAUGGAGGAAACAAGACUGGAGUCAUUGUAGGAUCAGUAGGGGGUGUGAUACUUCUUCUUCUUGCUGUGUUGGCUUCUCUUUUUUUUCUGAUGUAUAAAAGACACAUGAGGCAGAAUCCAAACCUCCCAGUUCCUCCUGAUGAAGCAGCAGCUGAACAGAUGUUAUGAAACAAAGACAUGAAAGUUUUUGUGAACAGCAUCAGAACAAACCAGAGCUUGUGUAACUUUGAUGGAAGCAGCAGCAGCAGAACAAAGAGAAUCCAGGUGUGGACCAACCAUGUGGUCUCUCCUUUAACUGCCACCUUAUGGUGGUGGAGGGUUUGUGAGCUCAGAGGAUGCUGGGAGCUCUGCUGUCUGGAGUUCAGCUCCUGCUAGGGUUUCUAUUGGCAGACUGGUCCAGAAACAUCAAGUCCUCCCAACAUCUCCAUCAUCUAGAUUGAUCCUGUGGAUUGUUGCUGCUGCUGUUGGUCUUCAUCAACUUUUCUGUUGCUUUGUCUGGAAAUAAAUGUGUUCCAAAGCUCUGCAUGUUAGAACCUGAUGAAAUGUUGUGGAUGUAAAGUGUUCUGUCAGAUGAGAUCAGAAGCAGAUAGAAAAGUUCUGAUUGUCCAGAAUGAAGCAGAACUGAUGAACAACUUUAGACUGAACUGGUUUCAAUGUUUUAUCUGCUAGCAGCUCUGAUGAUGCUCUGAACUUUUAACAUGGUAAAGGUGCAGAUAAUAGAAUAUAUUUUUGACACUUUUUUAACUGCUCAGGGUUUGUGACUUUUAUUUUCAUCCUAUAUUAUAUCUUUUUCUUUUAAUCUGUACAAAAACUUUGCACUCUGUUGCAGAAUGUAAACUGAUGAUAAAAUUCUUCAAAAAGUUCUUGUUUUAAUGUGUGUUUUAAGGUUUUAUCAGUUAGCAGCUCUGCUGAUGUUCUUACCUUUUAAUGUGGUAAAGGUGCAGAUAAUCUCUCCCUCUCCUGCUCAGUGUGCCACAUGUUUAGUUAUUCCUCUGCCUCCUUUAGUGAUAACGAUAUGUGUAAUAAGUGCAGCCUUUUUGUAGUUCUGGAGGCGAGGCUCUCUGAAUUGGAAUCACGGCUCCGCACCAUGGAAAAUAACCCGCUAGCAGCUAGCCAGGCCCCCUUAGCCGGUGCGGACCGCAAUAGCUUAGCUAGUGUAGCAUCUGUUAGCCGUCCCUUAGCAGCGCCCGAACAGCCGGGUGGAUGGGUGACAGUUCGUAGGAAAAACAGUCCUAAACUCAAGCCUGCUGUCCCGGCUCAGGCAGAAAAACUACAAGUUACUACAAGAAUAGUAACUCAUUGCCGUCAUCUUUUCACCAUAGUACACAACUGACCAGCUCUACAUUGUACAAUACACCCAUCCUCCGAGCACGGCUUCAGUAACUACUACGUCACCUUCCCUCUCCCUCCCUCUCAACCCCAACCCCUCCCACAGAGUGAAAACACUAACAGUACAUCCACACACUGGCAGAAAAAUUAGUUCAGGCUUUUGUUACUUCCAGGCUUGACUAUUGCAAUUCCUUAUUAUCGGGUUGUCCAAAUAGCUCUCUUAAACAUCUACAGUUGAUCCAAAACGCUGCUGCGAGAGUACUGACAGGAGUUAGCAAAAGAGAUCAUAUUUCCCCUAUACUUGCUUCUCUUCACUGGCUUCCUGUUAAAUCCAGAAUAGAAUUUAAAAUCCUUCUUCUGACAUAUAAAGCUCUGAAUAACCAAUCUCCAUCAUAUCUUAAAGAUCUGAUAGUACCUUAUUAUCCUAGUAGAACUCUUGGCUCUCAAACUGCAGGCUUACUUGUUGUUCCUAGAAUCUCUAAAAGUAGAAUGGGAGGCAGAGCCUUCAGUUAUCAGGCGCCUCUCCUGUGGAACCUGCUCCCAGUUUGGGUUCUGGAGGCAGACACCCUCUCUAUUUUUAAGACCAGGCUUAAAACGUUCCUUUUUGACAAAUCUUAUAGUUGGGGCUGACUGGGUGACCCACAGGGGUUCGGCUUGUGUCUUCAUUGCACAGCUGACUCCCUCUUGGACGUCCCUUCGUUCUGCCUCUAGUCAUGCUGCUAUAGGCCUAUAGGCUGCUGGGGGACUUUUCUUGACGCACUGAGCCCUUCUCUAUCUACCUUUACAUUUAAUAUGUAUACCGUUAUUGCAGUACAUUCACUCUGUUUCCCCCUGUGCUAUUUCUCCGAGUGUCCCUGGUCCCAGAGCUGGAUGCUUCAGAUCUGUGGUUGAUGUUCCACCAGCUGGUCCAGUCUCCAUCAUGUCCACUGUGGGAUGCUGCUGCUGACCUUCCUCCAGCCCUCUGCUUCCAACUCCCUUUUUCCACCAGUCAACUCUGCAUUGCCUUCACUAUACUGUUAUGCUAACUUACAUACUGUUUGAAUUUUACUGCUAGCUAUAUAUGGAGUAUGUUUAAUGUCAGAGCCGUACAUCAUAAGAGUAAACUAUGAGUCAGUUUUCAAUGUUAGCUUAUACUUUGUCUGUGUCACAUAUCCUGUCAUACAUGUAUCCAAAUGUGUGUUGUGUUUUCCUUGCUUUCCCACCCCUCCCUCUUCUCCCAUCCCUCCCCCUUGCCCUCCUCUGUCCUUCUCAACCCCCCCGGCCAGCAGGCAGAUGGGUCCCCCCUAUAUAGAGCCGGGUUCUGCUCGAGGUUUCUUCCCUGUUAAAAGGGUGUUUUCUUGCCACUGUCUCCUUUGGGCUGCUCUGGGGGUUAGGCAUAUGGGUUCUGUAAAGCGUCUUGAGACGAUUUGACUGUAAUUGAUGCUAUAUAGUGUAGUCAACAUCCAGCUUCAAGAGGCCCCAGACAUUCCACAGGAACAUCAUCUCACAGGAAAAACAAAAUUCUCUCCUCUCAGAAAGCUUAAACAAACAAACUAAGAGCCCCAAAGUGGAUUUUUAUGGCUUCAGAGACAUCUGCACCUUUCACCAAAAGCCUCGUAAAAUUCAUUUACGGUGACCUGUGAUCUGACUAGGAGAAAACCCCCCUUUUUCAGACUCUCACAUGGAUUGUUGUAUUUGCAUGUUUUCUUGUAUUCCUACCUUCACAGAAGACACUAAGACCCCUGGCAGAGAAGUGGAAGGGGACACAAAUGUUUCACACCUUCCUAAAUUUGCAUCUAAAGGACUGUUUAUUCCCUUUUGGUUCCUAUCCUUUGAUUAACUGAACUCAUCUUCACAGACGCCAUGCAGUCUCCCUCCCUCACGAUCAGAUACUGAGAGUCAUAAAUAUCUAAGGACCUUUCCGUCACCCCGGGAGGGCUGCAGAAAGACACUCAGUCUGUUUGAUGCCAAUAAGGACUCUCUUUCUAAAAAUUGUGCUUCUGAAAUUUUGUUUGUGAUUUUGAAGAUAUCAAAGUUGAAAUAAUAAUUUGUUAUACAUGUUAGUCCAA